rnacentral:lncRNA from 1 species
CAGGUCAUCAUUGCUAGAUGGUUACAUCGAUUGAUAUAAGAAGUUAUUCUUAUGCUAUUGAAUUAGGUUCGAACCUAAGGGAUCACACGUAUUAGAAGAUUUGGUCAGAUCUGAUGGCUGAAGAGUCCAAUUGGAUUAUGACUCUGGUAAAAAGUCUUACUUAGACUCGGACUCUAUGGGAGAGUCCCAUUGGGACUGAGACUCUACCAUUUAUAAAAAAUUAAUUAAUA